GACGAACGCUGGCGGCGUGCUUAACACAUGCAAGUCGAGCGGAAAGGCCCUUCGGGGUACUCGAGCGGCGAACGGGUGAGUAACACGUGAGUAACCUGCCCCAGACUUUGGGAUAACCCUCGGAAACGGGGGCUAAUACCGGAUAUGACAUGAGCUCGCAUGGGUUUGUGUGGAAAGUUUUUCGGUUUGGGAUGGGCUCGCGGCCUAUCAGCUUGUUGGUGGGGUGAUGGCCUACCAAGGCGACGACGGGAGCCGGCCUGAGAGGGCGACCGGCCACACUGGGACUGAGACACGGCCCAGACCCCUACGGGAGGCAGCAGUGGGGAAUAUUGCACAAUGGGCGGAAGCCUGAUGCAGCGACGCCGCGUGAGGGAUGACGGCCU
rnacentral:rRNA from 1 species